rnacentral:rRNA from 1 species
ACGAGCUCCCCAAACGUUAUUCGGUAUUACUGGGCUUAAAGAGUUCGUAGGCGGCUCUGUAGGUGAGAUGUGAAAGCCCUCGGCUUAACCGAGGAACUGCGUUUCAAACCACAGGGCUUGAGGGAGAUAGGGGUAAGCGGAACAGAUGGUGGAGCGGUGAAAUGCAUUGAUAUCAUCUGGAACACCGGUGGCGAAGGCGGCUUACUGGGUCUUUUCUGACGCUGAGGAACGAAAGCUAGGGUAGCGAACGGGAUUAGAUACCCCGGUAGUCCUAGCCGUAAACGAUGAGCACUAGUCUGAGGGACUCUCACAGUUUCUCGGACGUAGCGAAAGUGUUAAGUGCUCCGCCUGGGGAGUAUGGUCGCAAGGCUG